GAUAGUGUUAACUUGUAGUGAUGGAAGUAGCUAACUGAGAAAUGACAUUAUCGAUGUUGCUCUUGUUGGUUUUCCAAAGAUUCUUCACUACACAAAAACCAUGAAUAUAUAAAUCAAGAUUUUUCAACUUCUUCAGACCUCGCUUAAGUCGGAAAAAGUCUUUCAGUAGUGAGAAUUUGGAUUCACAUUGGUUAUUUUUACCAAGCGAUACUACUACAUGAUUGAUAUUUUUGAACAAUAUUUUCACAGCACUUUCAUAUGCACCAAGACCGUCGGUAAUGAGUUCGAUACUUUUGUCUUUUGAAUCACCUAAGAACUUUUCAAGCAACACUUUUACCUGACCCAUGUCACGAUACUUUGAGACAUGCCAGCAAAGGAUAUAGUUAGUAUCGUGGUCAACUAAUAACCAGACAUAAUAUUUUUGGUCUUUAAAUACUACAACAGUUUCGUCGGCAUGAACUCUGAAAACAUCCUCAAUGUCAAACGUUGGUGAAAGCACGGAGAAUAAAGUACACAAUUUAAUAACCCAUUUGUAGAUAGAAACAUGAGAGACCUUGAUGUUAAGA
rnacentral:rRNA from 1 species